rnacentral:rRNA from 1 species
GUGUGAAUUGCAGAAUCCCGCGAACCAUCAAUUCUUUGAACGCAAGUUGCGCCCGAAGCCAUUCGGCCGAGGGCACGCCUGCCUGGGCGUCGUUA